rnacentral:other from 1 species
AGUCAUCUGAGUUGUUCGUAAGUUUGCUUUUUAAUUUGGGCCUAACACUCUUUGAUCAAGGGAGCCCAAUGGGUUUUCUUGCAGCGUACACGCUUUAUAUGAAGGACGUACAAAACAAGAAACAGGGCACCCACCUGUAUAUAACAGGCCGAAUGAUCAAGCUAUUAUAACUACGGCAAUACGGACUCUAU